GAUGCGUUACUUGCGAAAGAAUCUAGCGGUGCGUGUUGUACAAAGUAUUAAAAAAAAUCCAUAUAAAUAUGUCCUACUUUGAUUUGGGUUGUUUUUGUGCUGCUUCAAUCCUCUUUUUUUUUAAUGUUGCUUAAAGCAAUGAUUUAAUUCUUGUUUGGCUUUUUGAAGACCUACUGGAAAGUAGUAUGUUAUAGGAUUCUCAUAUAGGUGCCACACUGCCACUCCUUUUAUCUUUUCCAGCCUCCUACAAGGGAGAUAUCUCAUUGGAUAUUUUAGUUAUAUUACUAUAAAAUUUAUAAUGUUUUAACUUUGAGACAAAAUAUUGGGACAAUAUUUGUUGGUUGAUCAUGUAAUGACAUAGCAGUUUUCUGUAAAGCAGGCUUUGAUAUUUAAUUUAAUUUGCUAAAAAUUAUGCAUAUACCUUCCUUUAUGGAAUAAAAGGUUAUCCAAGUGCAACAUAGAGGGCAGAAGUGUUGUUUGCGUUAUAAUUACAUUUGCUUUUUUACUUAUUAGUUUCAUUACUUGCAGCUGUUUCCCUAUCACCUUGCAGAGUAUGUUUGCCGUGUGAUGAGGGUAUCACCUUUUAGAUAUUACUGUGAUAUGA
rnacentral:misc_RNA from 1 species